ensembl:lncRNA
ACCCCUGCCCAGACCUCAUUUAAAGGUUGGCAGUAGAGGUGAGGGUAUCUCACUGGAGAUCCUCAUCUACCCGAGGCCUUCCAAAGAAGGGAUAUGUGCUUCAAUGAGCUGUGGGACAUCAAUUCACUUUGGGAGCACUGGAACUGUUUCUCUCCCUGGAGUGAACAUACUGAGAGAAGAUUUCCUUGCUCACCUUGUGGUCUGCGUGCUAUAAACAUCUGAAGUCCUCUAGUAUCCUUUAGGGAGGGCUUGCCAUGUCCAGUGAUUAUCCCGGAGGCUCAGUCUUAAAUAGGCUUUCCCAAGAUCAGGGAAUGACUGUUCACAGUAAAGCUUUGUCCUUGGAGUUACCCCACGUGUUUUCAGCAUUUGUCAUUCAAGCUGAUUGUGCUACCUUUAAGGAAGUGACAGCCAUCUCUGUAAACCAGAUCUACUGAAGAGCCUAUUGGUACAAAUAGAACAUAAACUUUUUCCUCUCUCCAUAAAGAAUUAGUGUGAUUGUUUCUGUAACUCUCAUAAACCUUUUUGCGUACUGUCCUGUUCCUUCUUCAUCUGAAAUCAAAGCUAUCUGGCAUGUAAGUCUUCAAAGAUUGCAUCAAUCAUAUGAGGAUGUGUCUUUGAGGAAGAAAGGAUCUGGACCUCAUGAGAAGACAGAGGAACCAAUGUUGUCACCAUGCAAAUCUUCCUCAAGGAAAAAUGGAUAAACAUCCUGAGCCAAAGUCCCAGAAUCCCCUUGUGUAGUCUUUUUAUUAGUUUUAUUGUUGUUAUUUGCUUGGUGGUGGUGGUUUUUGCUAGGAGCCCAAGUUUAUUCAAUCAUUUCCUGGCUGUUUCCCACUUAAUAGGUUUUGAGCUUGUUCUGUGAGUUCACCCAAAUUUGACAGUACAACUUAAAAUCAAGUAAUUGCAAAGAUGUUCCUUGAACGCAGGUGAUUAGCUAGAGGAUUGGCCACUUUCUGUGCUGAUAGGAAACUGCAGCAGAAUUUUCCCCUAACACUCUAGACUAACAUCUUAAGGAAAUUAUUUGUCUUUAAUUGAGGUGUAUGUAGAACUGUCUGCUUAUUUUGCUGUCAGUGGAUAUUUCACAAAAUAUAGUUUGCUGUUUAACAGUAUUUGUUUUGCUAGGGAGUUCUUCUUGAUGUGCGAAUUGCUUAUAGACAAGAAAACUGCAGCUUGUUUUAUUGGUUGGUUUCUUAAUUCAUGCAAUAGUUUACAUUUCCUGAAUGUAACCGCCAUCAGAAAGCACCAGCAACAUAGGGUUCUAAUGCACAACUUGUGUUGCUGUAAGUUAAUUGUGUAACGUGGGAUUUACUUUGAGGAACUGUUGUUUGUUUGUUUAAGUUAGCUGUUCUGAGCAUUUAUUCUUCCUCUGAAUCAACUAUGUUCACUCAAGUAUUCAAGGAAAGCAAACAUAAGCGGGCUUAAGUAGAACUAGAAUAUUUUUAGAAUAAAAAUACAGAUCGUUUC